rnacentral:rRNA from 1 species
UACAGAGGUCUCAAGCGUUGUCCGGAUUUAUUGGGUUUAAAGGGUGCGUAGGCGGUCUAUUAAGUCAGCGGUGAAAUACUCCAGCUUAACUGGAGGGGUGCCAUUGAUACUGAUGGACUUGAGUCAAGUCGAGGUAGGCGGAAUUGACGGUGUAGCGGUGAAAUGCUUAGAUAUCGUCAAGAACACCAAUAGUGAAGACAGCUUACUGGGCUUAAACUGACGCUGAGGCACGAAAGUGUGGGGAUCAAACAGG